UACGUAGGUGGCAAGCGUUGUCCGGAUUUACUGGGCGUAAAGAGCGCGCAGGCGGUCGAAUAAGUCGAAUGUGAAAGCCCCCGGCUUAACUCGGAAAGGUCAACUGAUACUGUGCGACUAGAGUGCAGAAGGGGCAACUGGAAUUCUCGGUGUAGCGGUGAAAUGCGUAGAUAUCGAGAGGAACACCUGCGGCGAAGGCGGGUUGCUGGGCUGACACUGACGCUGAGGCGCGAAAGCUAGGGGAGCGAACGGG
rnacentral:rRNA from 1 species